GGUGGGAGGCGCUGGAAUGUCCGCGGCGCGCUACGAGCGUGCGCAAGCGCACAUCGCGGGCAGCGGCGCUCGGGAGGGCCUGGUGGGGUCGGCUCGCCGGCUGUCGCUCCGCCUACGUCCAGGCUCCGCCUAGCGGCGCGAGUUGCGCAAUCCGUAGCCGGGGAACGGCUACGUGGUGACCCACUGAAUGGCUGCAGAGCAGAGAGCGUGGAACCUAGGGGCCGGUGGAGCGGGCGGAGCCUUGGUGGAAAGAUUGUCUGGGGCCGGCCCUGAAGGGACGCACGCCGCAGGCGGAGGAGUGUAAUGCCGGUUGCUUCUCUGACCCGAGACAGACUCCAGCGAUGAUCUGCUUCCUUGGAAGCUGCAUGUUACUGUGGUCCAAAACUUGUGAAGAGAAGCUGCAUCUGGCUGUGAAAGAAAAGUCCUGAAAGGAAUCCACAUCUGCAGAGACUGGCUGAUUAGAAUCUCAGUGCUGUUGCAGAGACUGGAAUGUUGCAGGUCCAGAAGCUAAUUACCUUAUCUCAGGCUAGUUCUAGCCCUCCAGAACAGACUCCUUGCCUGCCUCCUGUGUUGGAACUAACAUCUUGGGACAACAGAUUAAAGCCUUUUGCAGGCCACUAGACUCUACCAAUCCAAAAGCCAAGAAUGUCUUCAGAUGGUGUCUAGAAGCUAUAGAAAAUAUUCCCCUAUCUCAUUGGACCUGCCUCUCUGAUGUACCCUGUAAAAGUAACUUUUAUUCCCCUGAUUCAAUUGUUGUCUUCAAGGCUUACUGCCAUUGUCUGCUAACCUAGUCUGGCUUCUAGGCCUAGUCCUAGAAACCUCUAGCUUGCAUACAAUCUAACCAAGGCCUAGAAUGUUUUCAGCCUCUGAGAUUUCCUAUUAAGUAAGCUCACUUUUUCUGGUUCUUUCUGAGUUUGGGCUCACUGGGUCAACUCAGCUGUUCUGGCUCAAACCCCUCUCCAUGCUGACUGAUUUUAUCUGGCUUCUCUCAGUUUCUCACUGAAUAGCUCUGCUUGGCCUCAAACUAACUCUAGCAAUCUGUUCUAAUCUUCUGUCUCCUCAUUCUCUGGCUUAUUCUGUCUUUACCUGUAUCCAGUUUGUUCGCUCUUCAACCUCUUUCUGUAAAACUCUUCCGGUAAAAAACUGCUUUGAAUUUCAUAAACCUUACUACCAAAAACUCAACUCCAAUGCACUGCCUCUCAACUCACUGAUUCAACUGAAGUUCUGAACAGCACUCAGAGCCUCUGUCUCCUGAAUACUGAGACUAAACAUGUGUACUACCAUGCCUGGACCUUAGCCUUUCUCUACUUGCAACUUGCACUGUACCAGGCUAGCCUGGAACUCAGAAAUCACUUUGCUUGUUUCCUGGGAUUAAAGGUGUGUCUGUGUUCCAGCUGGAUCAUUCAGACCUAGAAGGUCUUUAGUAGUGAUCUCUGGCUAAACUUGCCCUGGUUUAUGACUUUCUCAGUUCUGUAAAACUAUAAAAACUUCAUGGCACUGCUUCCGUGUUGGAAUGUGAAAUUUGGGGUAACCUAAAUCUGUAUUCCUGAGUCCCAGUAACUCAAAAUAAAUGCUCUUUUAUUCCCUUUAA